rnacentral:sRNA from 1 species
GCCUGGCAUGGUGGCACAUGCCUGUAAUCCCAGUGGUUUAGGAGGCUGAGGCAGGAGGAUCGUGAGUUCAAAGCCAGACUCAGUAACUUAGUGAGGCCCUAAGCAACUCAGCAAGACCCUGUCUCUA